UACGUAGGGCGCAAGCGUUUGUCCGGAAUUAUUGGGCGUAAAGAGCUCGUAGGCGGUUUGUCGCGUCUGCUGUGAAAAACCCGAGGCUCAACCUCGGGCCUGCAGUGGGGUACGGGCAGACUAGAGUGUGGUAGGGGGAGACUGGAAUUCCUGGUGUAGCGGUGGAAUGCGCAGAUAUCAGGAGGAACACCCGGUGGGCGAAGGGCGGCUACCUGGACAUCAAACUGACACUGAGGCGCGAAAAG
rnacentral:rRNA from 1 species